UGAGCGGAUGAACUGAGGGUAGCGGAGAAAUUCCAAUCGAACCUGGAGAUAGCUGGUUCUCUCCGAAAUAGCUUUAGGGCUAGCCUCAAGUGAUGAUUAUUGGAGGUAGAGCACUGUUUGGACGAGGGGCCCCUCUCGGGUUACCGAAUUCAGACAAACUCCGAAUGCCAAUUAAUUUAACUUGGGAGUCAGAACAUGGGUGAUAAGGUCCGUGUUCGAAAGGGAAACAGCCCAGACCACCAGCUAAGGUCCCAAAAUAUAUGUUAAGUGGAAAAGGAUGUGGCGUUGCCCAGACAACUAGGAUGUUGGCUUAGAAGCAGCCAUCAUUUAAAGAGUGCGUAAUAGCUCACUAGUCGAGUGACACUGCGCCGAAAAUGUACCGGGGCUAAACAUAUUACCGAAGCUGUGGAUUGUCCUUUGGACAAUGGUAGGAGAGCGUUCUAAGGGCGUUGAAGCAUGAUCGUAAGGACAUGUGGAGCGCUUAGAAGUGAGAAUGCCGGUGUGAGUAGCGAAAGACGGGUGAGAAUCCCGUCCACCGAUUGACUAAGGUUUCCAGAGGAAGGCUCGUCCGCUCUGGGUUAGUCGGGUCCUAAGCUGAGGCCGACAGGCGUAGGCGAUGGAUAACAGGUUGAUAUUCCUGUACCACCUAUAAUCGUUUUAAUCGAUGGGGGGACGCAGUAGGAUAGGCGAAGCGUGCGAUUGGAUUGCACGUCUAAGCAGUAAGGCUGAGUAUUAGGCAAAUCCGGUACUCAUUAAGGCUGAGCUGUGAUGGGGAGAAGACAUUGUGUCUUCGAGUCGUUGAUUUCACACUGCCGAGAAAAGCCUCUAGAUAGAAAAUAGGUGCCCGUACCGCAAACCGACACAGGUAGUCAAGAUGAGAAUUCUAAGGUGAGCGAGCGAACUCUCGUUAAGGAACUCGGCAAAAUGACCCCGUAACUUCGGGAGAAGGGGUGCUCUUUAGGGUUAACGCCCAGAAGAGCCGCAGUGAAUAGGCCCAAGCGACUGUUUAUCAAAAACACAGGUCUCUGCUAAACCGUAAGGUGAUGUAUAGGGGCUGACGCCUGCCCGGUGCUGGAAGGUUAAGAGGAGUGGUUAGCUUCUGCGAAGCUACGAAUCGAAGCCCCAGUAAACGGCGGCCGUAACUAUAACGGUCCUAAGGUAGCGAAAUUCCUUGUCGGGUAAGUUCCGACCCGCACGAAAGGCGUAACGAUUUGGGCACUGUCUCAACGAGAGACUCGGUGAAAUCAUAGUACCUGUGAAGAUGCAGGUUACCCGCGACAGGACGGAAAGACCCCGUGGAGCUUUACUGUAGCCUGAUAUUGAAAUUCGGCACAGCUUGUACAGGAUAGGUAGGAGCCUUUGAAACGUGAGCGCUAGCUUACGUGGAGGCGCUGGUGGGAUACUACCCUAGCUGUGUUGGCUUUCUAACCCGCACCACUUAUCGUGGUGGGAGACAGUGUCAGGCGGGCAGUUUGACUGGGGCGGUCGCCUCCUAAAAGGUAACGGAGGCGCUCAAAGGUUCCCUCAGAAUGGUUGGAAAUCAUUCAUAGAGUGUAAAGGCAUAAGGGAGCUUGACUGCGAGACCUACAAGUCGAGCAGGGUCGAAAGACGGACUUAGUGAUCCGGUGGUUCCGCAUGGAAGGGCCAUCGCUCAACGGAUAAAAGCUACCCCGGGGAUAACAGGCUUAUCUCCCCCAAGAGUUCACAUCGACGGGGAGGUUUGGCACCUCGAUGUCGGCUCAUCGCAUCCUGGGGCUGUAGUCGGUCCCAAGGGUUGGGCUGUUCGCCCAUUAAAGCGGUACGCGAGCUGGGUUCAGAACGUCGUGAGACAGUUCGGUCCCUAUCCGUCGUGGGCGUAGGAAAUUUGAGAGGAGCUGUCCUUAGUACGAGAGGACCGGGAUGGACAUACCUCUGGUGUACCAGUUGUCGUGCCAACGGCAUAGCUGGGUAGCUAUGUGUGGACGGGAUAAGUGCUGAAAGCAUCUAAGCAUGAAGCCCCCCUCAAGAUGAGAUUUCCCAACUUCGGUUAUAAGAUCCCUCAAAGAUGAUGAGGUUAAUAGGUUCGAGGUGGAAGCAUGGUGACAUGUGGAGCUGACGAAUACUAA
rnacentral:rRNA from 1 species